rnacentral:rRNA from 1 species
UUUGCCUACGGGGGGCAGCAGUGAGGAAUAUUGGUCAAUGGUCGGGAGGCUGAACCAGCCAAGCCGCGUGAGGGAGGAAGGUACAGAGUAUCGUAAACCUCUUUUGUCAGGGAACAAAGGCGGGGACGUGUCCCCGGAUGAGUGUACCUGAAGAAAAAGCAUCGGCUAACUCCGUGCCAGCAGCCGCGGUAAUACGGAGGAUGCGAGCGUUAUCCGGAUUUAUUGGGUUUAAAGGGUGGGCAGGCGGUUUGUUAAGUAAGGGGUCAAAGGCCGGGGCUUA